UUGUGUUCGUUGCUGGGCAUGCGUUGGAGGCCGUCGAUUUUUGGUUGGGAGGUGAGCUGCAAAUCCAGCCGCAGCUUUGGCAUCGGGAGAUUUCCUUUUUUCCAAAGGCUUUCCAGAAGAGAAGGCCUCUUCCUUCUGUUCAAAGGCUUCCCAUUUCGAAUAUAUCAAUGGCAGAAGCAACAAAGAGGUAUGCGGUUGUUACUGGGGCAAACAAAGGCAUAGGAUUGGAAACUGUGAGGCAAUUGGCCUCAAAUGGAUUCACUGUAGUUUUAACUGCCAGAGAUGAGAAAAGGGGUCUUGAAGCUGCUGAGAAACUCAAAGAGUCUGGCCUCUCAGGUCAAGUGGUUUUUCAUCAACUUGAUGUGGCUAACCCUGCUACUGUUGCUUCUUUGGCAGACUUCAUCAAAACCCAGUUUGGGAAACUCGAUAUCUUGGAAAAAUGCUGCGAGAAGUGGAGCCAGAUUUGAUGGAUGCUUUAAUUCAGGCUACAAAAGACAGUGACGAAAGUAAGCUGCAAGCUUUAUCUGGUCCAGAGACAUUGAGCAUUGAUGAUAAUGAGGAGCAAGAAGAAGCGGAAGAAACUGAUUAUGAGGAGGAAGAAGAGGGUUCUCAUAUUGAUGUAGCUACCAGAUGGUUUGACAGUCUGAUCAAUAAGGACGUUCAAGGUUUCUGUCAGUCAAUACAAGUAGGGAGAUGGAUCACCAUGAGGAGGAAUCCCGUGCUGGGGGUGAACCUCAUGGGAAGCAAGAUGAUGAGGAGAUCUUGGGUACGAAAUCCAAAUAUGAGAAGCGGUCAUUUGGCCAAAUUGUUUAACGAUUCUUCGCUUUAAAGCUUCUUUUGUUUCUGUUUUUGUCCCUCCUCCUUCGUUGAGAGGGUUUGGUUCGCAGAGACAAAGCCCUGGCUUCAGUUUGUUUCCAACCAGCUGGUUGGGGGGCAGCCAUGGGAGAACAGUGUUCGUUGCUGGAGAUGUGUUGGAGGCCGUCGAUUUUUGUUUGGGAGGUGAGCUGCAAAUCUAGCCGCAGCUGUGGGAUCGGGAGAUUUCAUUUUUUCUGCAUCCUUUGACUCAGGCUUCUAUCUUUCAUGCUUACGAAUAUUUGCAUCGUUGCUCUUCAGGAAGGUUUAUGCUUCUUUGGCAAGAAGAGAAAUGCUGCAAGGAACCCAAAAAUACCAGGACUCUUCAUGCCUAAUAGGAAACCCAAUAGAUGACUGUUAGGAAUGUAACCCAAAUUGGCCAAACAACAGGCAGAGCUUAGCAGAUUGUGCAAUUGGGUUUGGCCAAUAUGCUCUUGGAGGCAAAGGUGGUGAGUAUUAUAUUGUCAGAGACUCUUCUAAUGAUGAUGCUGUGAAUCCAAGGCCAGGCACUCUGAGUUAUGCUGUGAUACAGACUGAGCCUCUCUGGAUUGUGUUCCCUGGCAACAUGCUCAUCAAGCUCUCCCAAGAGCUCAUCUUCAACAGCUACAAGACCCUUGAUGGCCGUGGAGCCAAUGUCCACAUUGUGGGUGGUGGCUGCAUCACAUUGCAGUUCAUAAGCAAUGUCAUCAUCCACAAUGUGCAUAUCCACAACUGUUAUCCGUCAGGUGGGUUUUUCUGGUAAUGCAUCUUCAGCCCCUGAAUCAAGAAAUUGUAAAUUCUCCAGUAAUGUGAUGAUUCAUGCAGUUGACAAAUUCGGGAGCUUCUUAAGGCAAUUUCCUCUUUUUCCAAAUGCUUUUCUCGUUGGUGGUUGGUGCAGAAGACUUCUUUAUUAUUCAACUUGCAGAUCAGGUAAAUUUUGAAGCACUCUGUGCUGCAAGUACUUUUGUGAAGUAUUUGUUCUCACAUUGCAUUGAAUGAGGUCGAUAUUUCCUUUACCGGUCAGCUUCAAAAACUGAAGGUGGAACCAGCACAUAAAACUUCUCCAGGGCUUGAGUCAUUGGGUAUUAUUGUUGGAAUUAUUUUCUUGGUCUUGGGAAUCUUAUUCCAGUUUUUCAACUUCACUGCAAAUUCAAAUCUGUUGAAAGGUUUGCUCAUGAGGACAAGGGUGAUUUUGCAACUUCACUAAAGCAUUUUAGAGUCAAAACCUCUACAGAGGAGUAGAAAGAAUGUAAGCCACCUGUACAGCAGAGCUAGCAAGACCUAGAUCCCCUUCCACCACCCAGUACCAUAUAUAUAAACACCUGCCCAAACUCUUUUGAACAAUGAGCAACUAAAGGUUGCCCAUAUUUUGAUGUUUUUAUAACUGCUUGAUCUAUUAAAAUAUGCCCAAUAUUUUCACAUAACAAGUAGCACAUAAAACAUGUUAUUAGUUUAUUUUUUGUAACUUAACCUUGCUAAACUAAGCAUGAUACCACUAUUUACAUCA